ensembl:snRNA U6 U6 spliceosomal RNA
UUACUAUAGCAGCACAUCUAUUAAAAUUGGAAUAAUAUGGAGAAGAUUGACAAGAUCUCGGAAUAAGGAUAAUAAAAAAUUCAUGAAGUGCUUCACAUUUUU